UUUAUAAUGCGUAGUUCUGCUAACGUUAUAUAGUAGAAAUAUAUAGUAUAAUCUACGAUUAUAUUUAUACUUAUCGUUAUAAUUUGGCGAGAAUCGAGGAAAAAUAAGAUAUCGUUCAUUCUUGCCCUUCGAAACAUCCUAUCUCUCUUCAGUUUCAUGCUAAACGGUUGCACGGAUCGGUUGGAAAAUACAAGGAAAAUGCUCGUAGACGUAUCGGUCGGUGGUAAAGCAAAAGAACGGACAAAUUGUCGGGCGUAUAUUACACGCUUCUCAGAGCUACGUCACCGUGAAAUAUCACAUUUUGCCACGAGACCUCCACGUUUACGAGGGAUCGAAGUGGCGCGCGAACGAGACGUCCCUUCGGCCGGAUGAAGAGGGAUCGCCAGGACGGUGCCAUCCUUGACCAUUUUCGAAUAAUUAACGUCGGUUUUCGUGAAACUUUCGGCUUUCUACCUGAACCUCCUACCCUCCCCCCCGGGCUUAGCCAUCGAGAAAUCGUUUCUCCCCAAAUCCACAAAUUUGGACCAUACUUUUUCAAGCAAGGAAACAAACAAGGAACAAGUUUGAAAAACUCGUUUCGAGUUAAUUACGAGAUACAAGUAGCAGAUUUUUAUAUACAAUUUUCAAAUAGAUACGCACGAGGAAAAUUUUCGUGACGGAUGAUCAUUUUUAUUAUUUAAAUCCUCAUCGACCCGACGAAAAAAAAUUCGCGACGAGGAGGAGGAGAGACUCGAGAUUCAAUACCAAGAUAAGGAUUGAAAAGAGGCAGCAACCAUCUUAUUAAUUCAAACGCCGUGGACGACAGGCAAGUCUUCAACAUCCAUUAUAUCCACGGACCUUUUACCCAAGCUGGUUCUCACGCGACACCUACGUUUUCCAUCGAGCUGCUUGAUUUAGGAUUUCCUGCGGCGGCCAAGCCGGGUUACGAACAAUUCGUGGCAUUCGAGAGGGGUGUCGAGCCGCGAUUCACGUUCCAAGGAUGUCUCCACGACACCUGGGAGCCCCAUCCGCCGGGAAACGUUGGACGCCGGCUCGCCGGCCACCGAUUUGUCACCAUCGAUUCGCUAGAAAGGGGCCAUUCGCCAUUAUUUUAGAAUAAUCUAAAACCGAUGGUGAUUAGUGGAGGAAGCGUCACCUGCGCGAUCAGCUUCUCGUUUGCGGCGUGUGACCGCAGACUGACCCUUCCUGAUUCCCAGAGAAGGCCAUCAUCCAUCAUCAUCGGCUGUGAAUGGCCGCUCUUUCGUCAGACUGCUCGAUUUUGUCGCUGGCUAUACAAUAAGUAGAAAUACGUAUCAUAUUGUGUGACGUAUAGAUUUUUUAAAUUUAUGAAAUAUCAAUUAUCUUAUUCAAAUUCAUAAAUAACGUUUCGUGGUAUGAUAAAUUUCUUCCUCUCCUCCUUUUUAAUUAUCAUUAUUAUUAUCCUGCAUUUUUUUCAGGUUUCAAAAUUUCACGGUGGAAAGAGAGAUAAGCUGUAUGUAUCUAAUUUUUAUGAAUCACGCAUAUCUAUAUCUGCAAUCGUACUUAUAAAUCAUAAGGGAUUCCACGUUUAUAAAUUAAAUCCUGUUAUCCUCAAUAAGAUCUUGCUACAACAAAGUAAAAUGUAUGAUGUGUAUUCCAUUGGAUUUUGAUGGGGAAGAAUAAUUGCAACGAUGAUUCCAUCUUCAUAAGAGAUUCCUUAUUCCUUGGAUCGAUUCCUCCUGCGAAAAAGGAGCAACGAAAGCCAUCCAUUGACCGGCAUCCACUUCAGAGAAACAAAGCAGAAGAAGUGGAGGAACGGAACCAGGAGCCAGAUACGAUCAAUUACUAUAAAACUGUCCGACCGUUCCUACCGAAAACCGCGCAUACCUCGUCCAGGUGUGACCGCGACAUCCUUGGAACGCCCGCUUUUUCUCUUCUCCUCUAAGAAGCUCACCGAAGAGGAUUCGAGCGUUUUUCAGCGCGCCCGGUUGUAAAAAAAAAGGAUAGAUAUCCAGAAUUUUCGGUGGGUAUUAAUCCCUUCCUCGUUACGCCGUCCUAUGCGUCGCAUAGUUUCUUCCCUCCUUUGGUGGUGCCGCGAUCAUCAAUGGGAAGUUCCGCGCGUGAAUGAACCAACCGAAGAGCAGGAAAUACCGCUCUCACGGUAGCAGGGAUUCGAGAUUUUGUUCUUAUACAUUGAGCUAUAAAAGUAUAAAGGAUUAUAGAAUUAUGGAAACGUUUAAUGUUUGCUAUUUUGCAAUUAAAAAUUCUACUGUGAAGGAAAAGAGCUGCAGUUUUUCAAGCACAUAUUUAGAAACAUCUUCAUCUCCAGAUCAUUGAUAUAAAGGAUUAUAGAAUUAUGGAAACGUUUAAUGUUUGGAUUUUGUGAACGUAUUUUGCAAUUAAAAAUUCUACUGUGAAGGAAAGGAAUUGCAAUUUUUCAAGCACAUAGAAAUAUCUUCAUCUCCAGAUCAUUAAUAGUAUAAAGGAUUAUAGAAUUAUGGAAACGUUUAAUGUUUGGAUUUUAUAUUGAACAAAUUUUAUAUUGAUGGAUGAGUAAUUAUUUGGAUGUUAUAAUUGUCUCUCUUUUUUUUUACAGGUGAACGUAUUUUGCAAUUAAAAAUUCUACUGUGAAGUCCAGUUUUUCAAGCACAUAUUUAGAAACAUCUUGAUCUUCAGAUCAUUGAUAGUAUAAAGAAUUAUAGAAUUAUGGAAAUGUUUAAUGUUUGGAUUUGUAUUGAACAAAUUUUAUAUUAAUAAAUGAGUGAUUAUUUGAAUGUUAUAAUUGUCUCUCUUUUUUUUUAGGUGAACGUAUUUUGCAAUUAAAAAUUCUACUGUAAAGAAAAGGAGCUGCAGUUUUUCAAGCACAUAUUUAGAAACAUCUUCAUCUCCAGAUCAUUGAUAGUAUAAAGGAUUAUAGAAUUAUGGAAAUGUUUAAUGUUUGGAUUUGUGAACGUAUUUUGCAAUUAAAAAUUCUACUGUGAAAGAAAGGAACAGUUUUUCAAGCAUAUAUUUAGAAACAUCUUCAUCUCCAGAUCAUUGAUAUACUCUGGUUUCAAUCUUGCGACAAUUAUCUUUUAUAUUUUAUACAAAUAUUGUUUCCUAGAAGCUUAAAUGCUGUAUAUUAUUAUAUUAUAUUAUUUAUCCGUUGUUGUAUCCGUUUGUAUCGACAAUUGGAAAAAAUUUUCCCGCGCCUCUAAAUCAUUGCAUAGUAAUACGGGUUCGCGGAACGGGCUCGAAGCGUAAAACACGAGGGCGUAGCUUCUCCUUCUCCUUCUUCUGUGCACGGCCGAGGGGAAGCGUUCCGUUAAUUUGAUGUAAUUUAGGAGCGCAGUAAUUAUAUUUAAUGGUGGUAUCGUUUGAUCUUGAAAAGUCUCGAACAAACGCACACCGGUGCCCCGGCACGAGAGGAAUAUUAAUCUUAGUCGUAAAUUUUGAUAUGCCGCGGAAAGCCGGCUCCGCCGUGCCUCGCCUCGCGAGGUUUAUUGUCCCGCGACAUGCACGUAACAUCGCACCUGAAAUCCUUAUCGACUAACGGGCCGUCGUACGUAACAGGACUAUGUAACGCACCGUACCUCUUUCGCGGGAUUGUAAGUGUAAGAGUUAACUGUCGCGAGAAAGUAUCGUGGAAUACGUGGAACCAAGAGAGACAGAGAUAUUUCUAUAUAUAGAAAGAAAAAAGAAAAAUGAUCGUUUUUGAGCAUCUCAAAAAUUAAAGAAAUUGAUGGAGGAUAAUUCUAUGAUUAGGCUCCAUUUUACUUUAUUUAAGAAGAGAAACAAGAAAAUCUUUUUUCUAAUAAUUUAAAAUUGGUUCUCCUCUCAUUAUUAUUUGUUAUAUAUAUUUUAAAAAAAUAACGAGGAAGAAAAAACAUUCAUCAUCUAUUCCAUUCCCACGUUCAACAAGAAAAAAAAAAGGGAGGAACCAGUUAUUCAGAUGGUCAAACUGUUAACAACGCCCCGCUAGAGAGGAAGCGGAGGACGAUCGACGUGUCGUGUAAUUUCGGUUAACGAGCAGGAUCAGGCUGGCGGAGGCGGUAAGCUUGGAGAAAGAGGGGAGCCCUUCUGCUAAUCCCGGACAAUCCGUGACCGAGUGAUUAUCUAUGUCGUUGCCCGGACCAGGCUCCUUUGUUUUUCCUAUUGUUUUCCCUGUUUCAUUUUCAGAAAUUUUCCUUCAUGUCCAAAAAAAAAAAAAAAA
rnacentral:lncRNA from 1 species